AUUGAACGCUGGCGGCAGGCCUAACACAUGCAAGUCGAGCGAGUGGCGGACGGGUGAGUAAUGUCUGGGGAACUGCCUGAUGGAGGGGGAUAACUACUGGAAACGGUAGCUAAUACCGCAUACCAUCAGAUGUACCCAUAUGGGAUUAGCUUGUUGGUGGGGUAAAGGCUCACCUAGGCGACGAUCCCUAGCUGGUCUGAGAGGAUGAUCGGCCACACGGUAACUGAGACACGGCCCAGACUCCGACGGGAGGCAGCAGUGGGUAAUAUUGCACAAGGGGCGUAAGCAUGAUGCAGCCAUGCCGCGUGUAUGAAGAAGGCCUUCGGGUUGUAAAGUACUUUCAGCGGGGAGGCGUUACCCGCAGAAGAAGCACCGGCUAACUCCGUGCCAGCAGCCGCGGUAAUAC
rnacentral:rRNA from 1 species